AGAGUUUGUUCCUGGCUCAGGAUGAACGCUGGCGGCGUGCUUAACACAUGCAAGUCGAACGGGAAUGCUUCGCUGAUGCGAUUUCGGUCAAAUCUUGAAGCAUUCUAGUGGCGGACGGGUGAGUAACGCGUGGGUAACCUGCCCUGUACAGGGGGUCAACAGUUGGAAACGACUGCUAAUACCGCAUAAGCGCACAGCUUCGCAUGAAGCAGUGUGAAAAACUCCGGUGGUACAGGAUGGACCCGCGUCUGAUUAGAUAGUUGGUGAGGUAACGGCCCACCAAGUCAACGAUCAGUAGCCGGCCUGAGAGGGCGAACGGCCACAUUGGGACUGAGACACGGCCCAAACUCCUACGGGAGGCAGCAGUGGGGAAUAUUGCACAAUGGGGGAAACCCUGAUGCAGCGACGCCGCGUGAGUGAAGAAGUAUUUCGGUAUGUAAAGCUCUAUCAGCAGGGAAGAAAACAAUGACGGUACCUGACUAAGAAGCCCCGGCUAACUACGUGCCAGCAGCCGCGGUAAUACGUAGGGGGCAAGCGUUAUCCGGAUUUACUGGGUGUAAAGGGAGCGUAGACGGUAGACCAAGUCUGAAGUGAAAGCCCGGGGCUCAACCCCCGGAACUGCUUUGGAAACUGGUAAACUAGAGUGCAGGAGAGGUAAGUGGAAUUCCUAGUGUAGCGGUGAAAUGCGUAGAUAUUAGGAGGAACACCAGUGGCGAAGGCGGCUUACUGGACUGUAACUGACGUUGAGGCUCGAAAGCGUGGGGAGCAAACAAAAUUAGAUACCCUGGUAGUCCACGCCGUAAACGAUGGAUACUAGGAGUCGGGGAGGGAAACUCCUCGUUGCCGCAGCGAGUGCAAUAAGUGAUCCUCGUGGGGAGGGCGGUGGCAAGAGUGAAACUCAAAGGAAGUGACGGGGACCCGCACAAGGGGUGGAGCAUGUGGUUUAAUUCGCAGCAUCGCGCAGAACCUAUCCCAAUCUUGACAUGACGGCGGCAAUCCGUGUAAAGCAGUAGUUGUUCGGAACACCGGCGACAGGUGGUGCAAGGGCGUCGUCAGAUUGAGUGGGGAGAUGGAGGGGUGAGUCCCGCGCAGAGCGCCUCCCCCCGCGCGAGGAGCCAGCCGUAAGAGGGGCAGUCUAGGCAGGUUUCCGGGGAGGACCGGGGGCAGGGAGGGGAAGGCGUCAAAUCAUCAUGCGCUCUAUCAUUAGGCCCCCCCGCGUGCUCCAAUGGUGUAUACGAAGGGAAGGGAGCGUGGGAGGGGGAGCGGAUCCCAAAAACACCCUGGCAGCUGGGAUGGCCGUGAGCAACUCGAGUACAUGAAGCGGCAAUAGAGAGUAAUCGCAGAUCGGAACGAGGCGGGGAACGAGUUCGGGGGUCUUGCACACGCCGCCCGUCA
rnacentral:rRNA from 1 species